GACAGAGGGUGCAAACGUUGCUCGGAAUCACUGGGCGUAAAGGGCGCGUAGGCGGGUCGGUAAGUCAGGGGUGAAAUCCCACGGCCCAACCGUGGAAGUGCCUCUGAUACUGCCGGCCUCGAGGGGGAUAGGGGCGUGCGGAACUCAGGGUGGAGCGGUGAAAUGCGUAGAUAUCCUGAGGAACACCGGUGGCGAAAGCGGCGCGCUGGAUCCCUUCUGACGCUGAGGCGCGAAAGCCAGGGGAGCAAACGGG
rnacentral:rRNA from 1 species